GGCGCUGCCCCGGCCGGCCGGGCUGGGCUGGGCGCUCCGGGCGGGAUGAUGUCAGGCACAGCCCCGGGCGGGCGCUCAUUGGCUUCCCUCACCUGCGCCGGCCCUUAACCCUAAACUGCCGGCCGCACACUGAAAGAAAGGUGUCUGAUCCUUCCAUACAUCCGCACAGGAGGAAAUGAGACUGCACAAGAAGCUCCUGCUUUGGGGACCAGAUGUCCC
ensembl:lncRNA